rnacentral:rRNA from 1 species
UGCAGUCGAGUGCGCGUCUGUAGCAAUACAGAUGGCGCACGGCGCACGGGUGCGUAACACGUGGGUAAUCUGCCCUUCGAUGGGGAAUAUCUUCGGGAAACCGAAGCGAAUUCCGCAUAACAUUCCUUGAACUUCGGUUUGGGGACUCAAAGCCGUAAGGCGUCGGAGGAGGAACCCGCGCACGAUUAGCUAGUUGGUAGGGUAACGGCCUACCAAGGCUUUGAUCGUUAGCUGGUCUGAGAGGAUGGCCAGCCACACUGGAACUGAGACACGGUCCAGACUCCUACGGGAGGCAGCAGUGGGGAAUCUUGCACAAUGGGCGAAAGCCUGAUGCAGCGACGCCGCGUUGGGGAUGAAGCUUUUCGGAGUGUAAACCCCUUUCGACCCGGACGAAUGCCCCGUAAGGGGACUGACGGUACGGGUAUAAGAAGCCCCGGCUAACUACGUGCCAGCAGCCGCGGUAAGACGUGGGGGGCCAGCGUUGCUCGGAAUUACUGGGUGUAAAGGGUUCGUAGGCGGUGUGGCAAGUCGGGAGUGAAAUCUCUGAGCUUAACCCAGAGUCUGCUUCCGAAACUGCUGUGCUUGAGUGUGGGAGAGGCGCGUGGAAUUGCAGGUGUAGCGGUGAAAUGCGUAGAUAUCUGCAGGAACACCCGUGGCGAAAGCGGCGCGCUGGACCACUACUGACGCUGAGGAACGAAAGCUAGGGGAGCAAACAGGAUUAGAUACCCUGGUAGUCCUAG